rnacentral:rRNA from 1 species
AUGGACGGUGGUGGCAGCGCCAUGGAGCACGGCCGCACAACUUCGAUGUCGGGGCAGGUGGGCUCGGGCGUUGAACGGCUCCACGGGAGCAGCAACAUGCGGCGCAUCCAGUCGGGCUUGGGUAGUCCCCCGGCGCCAGACGCACGCGCUGGUUUCCGGCAAGCUGGACAUGGUGAUGGAAGUGCACCCUAUGUUAGCAGGGUGAGCAUCGAUGAAGCCAAAAGGAGGGAAAAUGUCAACCCCGACAAUGAAGAUAACAUUCUGAUGGGGAAUGGUUCAGCUCCAAGAGAGACAGCUUGGAAAGGGCUUGUAAGCAAUGACAUCUAUUAUAUUUGGAACCAUGGCCCGAAGUUUGGUGGGGGAUUUGAUUGUCGGUACUACCCCCUAAUCACUAGAGGAGGAGGUGCAACCCGCUUUAGGGAGCACCUUGGAGGUAUACCAGGUGAUGUGAGGGAGUGCCCUAAUGUUCCAAGAAAUAUUCGUGCUGCAAUGAGGGAAUCCCGGGAUGACUCAAUGCGGAAGAAGAGGGAAAAGAAAAAUCGUAGAUUUCGUUUGGAAAGGGAUAUCAUGGAAGGGUUGUACCAUGGAGAAGGGGUGAUAAAUAUUGAAGAUGAUGAGGAAGAGAUCCAGGCCGCACUUCGGGAGACACUAAGAGACAAGAAUGUCUCUCGCGCAGUUGAGAGGAGGCGUGGGAGUGGCAGUGGUGUUCGUGUGUCUCUUGGGAAACAGAGUAUCACAACAUACUUUGACAAGGAAUUGUCGAGCAACAAAGUACCAAUGCAGCCAAAGAUCAGCACUGCUUUGAAUGUUGAGUCAAAAGAUGUACUUGGCCAAGCUUGGGCAAAGUUUUUUCAUGCUAAUGACAUUGCUGGUCUGAAAGCAAAUUGUCCCUAUUUUCGUGCGGCUGUCAAGAUAACUCAAAACCUUGGCCCAGCUCCUGUUCCAACUGCCAAGGAGAUUGAUGGGAUAUAUUUGGACAAGAAUUAUGAAGAAGCUGAGCAGUGGCUGAAGAUGUUCAAGCAAGACUGGAGGAACUAUGGUGUAACUGUGAUGUGUGACUCAUGGACAGGGCCUACUGAGUUUAUCUAUAGAGAGAUCAGAAAGGUCGUUGUGGAAGAGAUAGGUUCUGAGAAUGUUGUUCAAAUCGUAACCGAUAAUGGGUCAAAUUACAAGAAAGCAUGUAAAACUCUAGUAGAACAACCAGAGUUUAGUCAUAUUGUUUGGCAGCCAUGUGCUGCCCACACUGUUAACCUCAUGCUUAAGGAUGUUGCUAAGUUUCGUGAGAUUGACGUGAUAGUUAAAAGUGCUAAGUAG